GGCCCGGUAGCUCAGUGGUAGAGCACUCGCCUGAAGAGCGAGGUGUCGACAGUUCGAUCCUGUCCUGGGCCACCA
rnacentral:tRNA from 1 species